rnacentral:lncRNA from 1 species
GGCACAGGGAUGGCUUUGAGAAAAAGGGGCAAAGAGAAGAAGAAAGAAUCCAAUGUGGCUCCAUAGUCAGGAGGGGUAAAUCAGACCCUCCAUACCCUGUUAACUGGUAUCUUUUACCCAAGAUCCAGAAUUCAAGUCAUCAUGAUGGAUUAGGAAUAAGACUGAAUGAUGAGAAGUUGCCAAGAGGAGAGGACCAAUGAUGUGGAUGGAAAAUGCUG